UGGGGAAUUUUGGACAAUGGGCGAAAGCCUGAUCCAGCAAUGCCGCGUGUGUGAAGAAGGCCUUCGGGUUGUAAAGCACUUUUGUCCGGAAAGAAAUCCUUGGCUCUAAUACAGUCGGGGGAUGACGGUACCGGAAGAAUAAGCACCGGCUAACUACGUGCCAGCAGCCGCGGUAAUACGUAGGGUGCAAGCGUUAAUCGGAAUUACUGGGCGUAAAGCGUGCGCAGGCGGUUUGCUAAGACCGAUGUGAAAUCCCCGGGCUCAACCUGGGAACUGCAUUGGUGACUGGCAGGCUAGAGUAUGGCAGAGGGGGGUAGAAUUCCACGUGUAGCAGUGAAAUGCGUAGAGAUGUGGAGGAAUACCGAUGGCGAAGGCAGCCCCCUGGGCCAAUACUGACGCUCAUGCACGAAAGCGUGGGGAGCAAAACAGGAUUAGAUACCCUGGUAGUCCACGCCCUAAACGAUGUCAACUAGUUGUUGGGGGUUCAUUUCCUUAGUAACGUAGCUAACGCGUGAAGUUGACCG
rnacentral:rRNA from 1 species